rnacentral:rRNA from 1 species
AUACGGAGGAUCCGAGCGUUAUCCGGAUUUAUUGGGUUUAAAGGGUGCGUAGGAGGCCUUUUAAGUCAGCGGUGAAAGUCUGUGGCUCAACCAUAGAAUUGCCGUUGAAACUGGGGGGCUUGAGUAUGUUUGAGGCAGGCGGAAUGCGAGGGGUAGCGGGGAAAUGCAUAGAUAUUACACAGAACCCCGAUUGCGAAGGCCGCCUGCCAAGCCAUGACUGACGCUGAUGCACGAAAGCGUGGGGAUCAAACAGGAUUAGAUACCCUGGUAGUCCACGCAGUAAACGAUGAUCACUAGCUGUUUGCGAUACACUGUAAGCGGCACAGCGAAAGCGUUAAGUGAUCCACCUGGGGAGUACGCCGGCAACGGUGAAACUCAAAGGAAUUGACGGGG